UAGUCGUGGGAAGACUGAGUGCCUUAGGCCACAGGGUACAGUGGAGCAGAAUGAAGGCAUCUAUGCUUGUUUGACACAAUUAGGGUGUGUUGUCAGGAGAAUAUACUCAGUAAGGGCAGCCCUUUCUCUUGCGCAUGUGGAUACAAACCACAAACUCAUAAGAUCAUGUACCUGGAACCUGCCAACAAUAAUAAGGCAUCUACUGGCCUCACCUUUUUCCAUCCUCUUGUGAGGAAUGGUUUGCCUUCAAGGAUUGAACGGCUUUGGCGUGAUGUGUGGACUGCAGUGACCAGCACGUAUUAUGAUGUCCUGCACAGUCUCGAGGAAGAUGGACUACUGGACAUAUCAAACAUGCUGCACAUUUUCCUGGUGCACUUUGUGUUCCUACCCCAUCUCCACAGCGACAUUUACUGAGGUUCCAUGUUGGAACCAUCACCCACUCCGCACAGAGGACUGGGUAAACAUGACCCCUCAGCUGCUGUGGCAGUCUGGUCUGCUGCAAAACAGCACAGAUGAGGCUGAGAAUGUUGAGGUAUGCACAAACUUUCCUGCAAUUAUGUUAUGUCCAUAUUGUGUCUAGGGGGUGUAGGAUGCAAACAAUUUAAUAGUAGACCCGGGAGAAGGAAAAAGGCAAGGCGGAAACGCUUCCAAGUUAACCUUAAAGUAUUUAUUAACCCAACUACUGAAAUAAACAAGAUGGUCUUCAAAAGGAAGACGAUGAAACCUGCCACGAACAACGCCGCUGGCCACAGGCCCCGGUUCUGGUCAGGCUACCGCAGGUCCGCACACCCCUGCACUGGUGUCUGGGUCUCCCGCUCCCACAGGCCUUCACUGAAGCUCCAUUUCUCCCCCCGUUGUCACUGGCUCUGCACAGCUAUAACGCCUCCCCUGAUGGGCGCUGAUGGGCGUCAGCUGCGAGAGUGACUCAAUGCGCACCUGGAGAGAGCAGCACAUAAACAGAAAACACAAAACAAAACACGGCACGUAACAAUUAUCUAUGUUGAAUAUACACACUGAUACACACUGAUUCAAGCUGAAUAUUGCUCUUUAAAUGUAUGCUUAAUUUCAACUGCUAUUCGAAUCUUAGGAUCUGCAAGAACUAGACAUUGACUGGGAGAUUGUCCUUGACCAUGAUGAGUCCCCACCAGAAUCUGGACUUGUUGUUCCAGAAUUUCCAAUACCACUCAGUGAGCAAGAUAUUGCAGACCUUCAAGCUACUGUGGACCCACCUUUCCCAUCCGGCUCCCAUGGCGGAGACAUUUACUUGCGUUGUCUGCAAAUCUUUCAGUGAGCAACUGUCAUGUUGGCAAGUCUGAGCACUACCUGCUGUGCCAUUGUUACGACACCUCCCUUGCCUUCAGUGAUUCAACUGACAACUCCCUGCAGGAACUGGAAGUCAAGGAGGGUUGUUAAGGCAAUGUGGUAGCACCUGUGUAGGCUAUAAUUACCAGCCAAGUCUCACUGUGUCUCUCUCCUAUGCUCCACAUCUCCAGGUUCUGGUUUGGUUUGACAUUUUUGCUACCUUCAACAGCUACAUAAACACUCCUGACUCAUCCAUACAUUCCACUCACUACUAAUGCAACUGAUCUCCACACCUCAUGCUUUUUGUAAAUAGUUGGUUUAUUUUCUAGUAAAACAAUCAAUUGGUACUUCUCUCCACUCGUUCACGUUUUGAGUCAGUUUGUGUCAUCAUAUACAUGUUAACAUGAAAUAGUAAACAAAAAAAAUAAAACAAAAUGUUUUUGUAGAACAGAGGUGUUCUUUCCUGAAAAACUUUUAAAAUGCAUAUGUAAUUUUUUUUUUAUCUGUGGCAGUUACUUUUUAAAACAUUUGAAACUUGAAUUAACUAGAAGCUAUUGUGAAACUAGUGAAUGGCUUUCACAAAUAAACCAGCCACAACUGUU